rnacentral:rRNA from 1 species
UGCGUAGGUGGUUUCUUAAGUCAGGAGUGAAAGGCUACGGCUCAACCGUAGUAAGCUCUUGAAACUGGGAAACUUGAGUGCAGGAGAGGAAAGUGGAAUUCCUAGUGUAGCGGUGAAAUGCGUAGAUAUUAGGAGGAACACCAGUAGCGAAGGCGGCUUUCUGGACUGUAACUGACGCUGAGGCACGAAAGCGUGGGGAGCAAACA